UUAAAACCCGACUUGACAAAGUUCUGACAUAUCAGCUGCUCGGAACCGUAAGAGAUUGCAGAAAACUUACAGCGUGUUUGAGAAUCCUAUAGCUCUGCACAGAUUUUAUACACAAACAAAUACUGUGUGCGUAUAACAUAUCUAUCUAUCUUAAGAUAGAUACAAUACAGAAAAAAGCAAAUUACGUAACUUUGAUCGUGUUUAUUGAAUAAAUCUCUUCGCGGCAGUCAACAAUAGAAAAUAAACAAUUUCAUGAUUAUUACAUUACUGUCGUUGUCGAAUGUGUGUGUCAAAAGACACAUACUUUUCAUUAAACUCGCGACCCAUCAAGACCGUUUUUAUUUCAUAGAUUUUUCUCAGUUUAAUGACAAAAAAGAACACGUACCUACCUUGCUUCAGGAGAAGUGGAGUGUGGAGUUUCAGGAAGUUGGAAGCUUCUAUUGUAUCUAGAGGGCGGGUUUUUCACCUGGGUAGACACCACUACAAUAAAGACAUUGCUUUACUGGCUUUACGCAAUUAUUGAGAAACUAAACUUAACAUUGCUGUCCUCCUGACGAUCGCGGAGGGAGGGGCGAGUCCUGGAAAAUGACGAAAUGUAAACCCACCUCUCUUCCACAAGAUGAACAAGAAACCCUAAAGGCUGCUUUACUGACAGUCCCAGCUGAAGUAAGCCAGAGCACAGGGGAGUCUGGAGUAGAGGAUGAGCCUUUCCACCAUGGUGAAAAAUUGAAGAUGAAAGUCGUAUGGAAAAGAAGAUGGGAAUCGAAGAAAUGGAAGGAUCGCAAAACAACAUGUGUGAUCUGACCUAACUUUUUUUUUUUUAAAAAUUGUAUUUGUUUAUUUAGCAGACGCCUUUAUCCAAGGCGACUUACAGAGAGUGUGUGAACUAUGCAUCAGCUGCAGAGUCACUUACAACUACGUCUCACCCGAAAGACGGAGCACAAGGAGGUGAAGUGACUUGCUCAGGGUCACACAAUGAGUCAGUGGCUGAGGUGGGAUUUGAACCGGGGACCUCUUGGUUACAAGCCAGU